rnacentral:lncRNA from 1 species
CUUACCGGUUGGGGCUUAGAGCUGGAUUACUGAGCCUGUCUAAAACCAAGGAAACAUUUGAGGAGUUAGAAACCAGUUGCUUUGAACCGGUAGGUGGGAUGAGAUACUGGAGAAAUUUGAAAACCAGAAGUCACCCAAUUUGACACUUUAAGAAAGAAAAGCAUUGAAGAAUUGAAUUGAAGAAUGUAGGAGCGGUCUUUCCUUUAUUCCAACAGUACCACAAAAUAAAAAUAUAGAAGAUAAAAUUCCACAGCCACUGGUACCAACAGAGAUAUACAAAUGGCUGAGUGGUGAGACCUUGGAUAUGAAAUAAGGACUCAAUAGCAAAGACAUUUCAAAAGAAAAAUGUUUAAAAACUCAUGAGACCCCUCUCUGGAUAAAGGAGAGAAUGUGAAAGACAAGGAUGAGUUGAGCAUGACUAAGUAGCUGUGAAAAAAGUGACAUCACUUUUCUACUUCCGUAGACAAGGAAGAUGGAGGCAUAGGUGACAUCAAUGGACAAGAAAGGGCAACAAUGCCUCCUAGAGGCCAAAGGCAUCAACAGCUUGGGAAGCAGCCAAGAUUUCCUUCCUGUUGGCAGAGCGCUCAGGGAGGUCCUGGGGAAUGACCAAGAGAAAACACAGAUGUGCAAUACCCGGAGGCAGGAGAAUGGAGUGACAGAGGAUGAGAUGGUUGGAUGGCAUCAUUGACUCAAUGGACAUGAGUUUGAGCAAACUCUGGAAGAUAGUGAAGAAGAGGGAAGCCUGGCGUGCUGCAGUCCAUGAGUUAGAUAUGACUGAGCGACUGAACAACUAACUACCCGGAAUCACAGCAGCUAUUUUAAAAUAAUGAAGAUGGAAUUUUAAAAUGGUGGAAAAGAAAGAUAGAAGGAGCUCCUGUGACAUCAGUGAACAGCUCCAGAUCCACACAUCUUGUAUGAGAAAAACAAACUUUCAUCUGGUGAAACUACUGUGACUGAAUUUUCUACCAUUCUGAUUUGAAUAAAUUCCUAACCUAAAUAAUGUGAGGAAAUGCCCUAUAGCCAUAAAGCUAUAGAAAGAAGAAUGCUUAUCAAAGUGCUAAUAGAUUUUUAAUUAAAAAAACCUGUGAUCAAAUGGUCUGGGAAACAUCAAGGUAAACCUCAUUAAACAGCUUGCUUUAACCAAGUAGAUACAACAUAGUGUACAACAUAUUGCUUUUACCAAACUAACCACAGGGUACCAUUUCAUUGUCUAUUUU